UUUUACUGCAGUCAGAUAAUUUUUGAAUAUGUAGCACAGGACUGGAUAAAGUGUUGGGGUUGUUACUCAAAGAAAGUAACCUAUUACACAUUCCUUGUUACUUUUCUUAAAAGUGUAGAUCUCUCCAUAAUUUUCCUCCUCCUGAAGAUCAUCACACACCUGCAGCUGAUCAAGCCUCGCCAGAGGAGCUACUUAGGAGUGUGGUGGAGCUCUCUUCGACGCUUGAUCAUUAUGUGACUACCCGAAGAGCCUGGAAAUGAGAGUGCAGCAAGCACGGGGUGCAUGGACACUUGGAAGCGAGGACACAGGGCACAGACACUGGGAGGAAGACACGGCACGGGGAUUUAUUGUUGUGUAUUAUUUACGUCACUGUACAUAAACGCACUGCUUACAUUGAAGGGUCCUGCAUUUGGGCCCUUCUCCCAGCGCAGCUGUGACAGUUUUCUACAUUCCACAGGACCUCAACUCCCAAAGUCUUUUCUAUCUUUCUCUCACACUCCUAAAAGUACAGUGACCUGAUACAACUUGAAAACAUUCAAAAUGCUGCUAAAAAAUAUUUUCCCCCUUCAUUAAUUUUUGUCACAUUUACAUGUUUUUAGAUCUGGUUCCUGUCCCACACAGCAAUGAAUGUAUUUGAAAGCAAAUCUGGAUUCUUGGCUCAUGGUGCUUAGACAUGCAGACUACAGCAGCCAGGGAUUGAACUACAAACCUUUCAAUUGGUAAAUGACCUGCAACAGCCACUCCACACAGGCUCCUUCAUGCAUUUAUAGACAUUUUCACAAUUCAAGUAACUUGCUACCAGUUCAGUUUUUUAAAUUCCUUGGAAUUUCAGACUUUCUGAAACUAAACAAGUUAAAAACAGAUAUCUGGAAGUUAUUUUCUCUAUAACUAGCCAUAUCAAUCCUAUAACAAUGAGGGUGUUGCUGCUAUUCUUGUAACUCUUUCUGAGCUGACCUGAACUACCAGUGUCACUGAAGAAAAAAAAAAAAAAAAAAACUAAAAAAAACCCCCAAAAAUCUUUUAUUUAGCUGCUAAUACAACACCUCUAAUACAACACCUCUCACUUUAUUUCUCACAAUCUCGCCUGAUGAUGUCUGGUGAGCAGCACUCUAGUUAAACAUUGAAUCUACACUAGUCUCAAACUCUUCUCUCCCGGCUUUGUUUGUUUUCUGUAACUUUAUUCCUCUACAUCUCUCAGUGACAAAUGAAUUUUCUGAAAAUCUCUGAAAAUUCUAAAUCAAAUCAAAACACAAAUGUUUCUGUUCACUCCACAUUAACAAACAACAAUCUUUUUUCGCCAGCACUGAAUUUUUCUAGACUGGACAAAGAGGGAAUUGCAUCCCAUUAUCCCAACUGUUUUAUCAGUGACUGCUUUGGUUCCUUUUCUCAGCUUCAAAUCAAGUCACAUUUUUUCCAUCACCUUAAAAUCAGACCCUUUUUAAAGGGGUGCAUCCCUGAAUCCACUGUUAAGCCCAACAGUCAUUUCAGUGCAACUAAAUGCUAAAUAUUUAGUUUCUCAGUUUGUUAAAGGUUUCGCUACUCCAACUAAUGAGUUGCUAGUGAGUUUUGUAAUUAAAGAUGAAACUCGGGAAGAGAGCCCGUUUAGUGUCCAACGGUGUUCUGUCAGCACUUGUCUCGCACAGGCUCAAUCAGUUCAAGAUAAUGUAACAAAAUAUUUGGCACUGUAAGCCACAGUAUUUUGCUGCAUCUUUCACACUAAUGGAUGUUACGGACAUUGACAAACUGAUAUUAGAGUGUAUUCAUAUUACAGGACGGUACAGUAUUGUUAGGUUUGAAAGCCUCAUGUCUUCCCUCCAAACAUACCUCUUGUCAUUGUGGCCAAAUAGCUGAAUCUUUGUCUCCUCUGACCAUUAAAAUUUUUCCAGAAGGUAUUUGGCUUGCCCAUGCGACCUGCUGCAAAUUUAAGUUGAGCUUUAGUUGAAGGUGUUUGGAGUGGGGGUUCUUUCUUGGUUGGCACCGUCUGAAUCCAUGAUGAUGUACAGUUCAGAUUACUGUGGACAGUGAUGCUGUUUCCAGUUCAUAGCAGGUUUGAACAUCCUAAUCAGUUUCCUAUCAUUAGAGGGUUUAAGUCUUCUACCAGACUAUGGCAAAGUCAUGCCACAUCCAAGUAACAUCCAUAUGUACAAUUCUUUGAACCAAUGAUCUUGGAAUCUACAGUUGUUUAAAAAAUGGCUCCAAGAUACCCUCCCAACAUGUGCAAUUCUACCGUUCUUCUUCUUCUUGAAUUGUCAGUGAGUUGCUCAAUUGGAUUUUCCAAUUGUUCUGACUAUUAACCAGUCCAAUAAAUCAUUUUAUGCCGGUAAAGAGAAACUACCAGUUCUAGUCAAUCAUGAUCAUUAACGAGAAGAUAAUAGGCCUUCAACAACACUUGUUAAAAUAUUUAAGUGAGCAAGCGCAUAUGUUUCUAGUCUCGAUGUAUGUGUGAUGGCCACACCUGCAGCAUCACAACUCUGAAGUUGGGCAAAAGAUGCAGCUGUGUUAUAUAUGGGAAGAGUUUAUUGGGCCAUACCAUGUGCAGCUCUUUCAUGGGUUUCAAUAAAUAAAUAAUUUUUAAUGCUGUGCUUUCUCUUUGAUUUAUGAAUUGUCUGUUCGCUUAGUAUUCUUUUGGGCAUUUAAUUAAAGUGAUUAUAAAACUAAGCAUUGGUUUGUUUGGUGUUAAUACAUCCUAUGUGUCAACUUGGUCUGAUCAGCCAAGAUUUAGGUCCCC
ensembl:lncRNA